rnacentral:rRNA from 1 species
GUGGGGAAUCUUCCGCAAUGGACGAAAGUCUGACGGAGCAACGCCGCGUGAGUGAUGAAGGUCUUCGGAUUGUAAAGCUCUGUUAAUCGGGACGAAAGAGCCUAGUGUGAAUAAUGCUAGGAAGUGACGGUACCGGAAUAGAAAGCCACGGCUAACUACGUGCCAGCAGCCGCGGUAAUACGUAGGUGGCAAGCGUUGUCCGGAAUUAUUGGGCGUAAAGCGCGCGCAGGCGGAUCUGCCAGUCUGUCUUAAAAGUUCGGGGCUUAACCCCGUGAUGGGAUGGAAACUACAGGUCUAGAGUAUCGGAGAGGAAAGUGGAAUUCCUAGUGUAGCGGUGAAAUGCGUAGAUAUUAGGAAGAACACCAGUGGCGAAGGCGACUUUCUGGACGAAAACUGACGCUGAGGCGCGAAAGCCAGGGGAGCGAACGGGAUUAGAAACCCGGGUAGUCC